rnacentral:pre_miRNA from 1 species
ACAACAUUUGGACUGUCGGUCUAUCGAGCAAUAUCGUUCGUUGGAAAAUCUUCCCUUUGUCGU